GAUCGACACCACUACCUCUGUC
rnacentral:siRNA from 1 species